GUGUAUUGUUAAAGUCGGACCUAAUGUAUCAUGCAGACACAGCCCAAAACGCGGUUCCUUCGUCCACACAAGGGCGCAUAUAGUUGAGCAACAAUCAGAACAUCAACUACUGUGAAAAGACUGCAUUCCAAAAUGCAAUAAGCUAAUGAGGCACUUCAUGAUGAGAUAGCGAAACUAAAGGACAUUUAAAGUUAUAUGUCUGAGCAGCGAUGGACCGGACAAUUUCGAGACAAUUUUUAGGUCCUUCGAACUGCAAAAUGUUUUGAAGCAACAUUUUAGAUUAAAUAUAAAAUUAAGGAACAUUGAAUUAGUGAUAAUUUCAUUAGGAUCAUAUAUUUUGUAUUUGAAUUUGGUGAAACUUAAUUAAACUAAUUACAACACUACAAUUCUAUUACAUUUAUUGAGAAUUAUGUAAUGUAACGUGAUGGGAAUAAUUUAGGCGGGCAUAUCCUGUCCAAACCCAGGAUGCACAAAAUGAAGAAUUUGUUUUAACUUUGUAUGAAAAGCAUCAAUAAAAAAUAUAAUCUUUAAACUAAAUUAAUUUUAUGUUUUUGGGUUUGCAAUUUCGUUCAAUACGUAAAUCUGUGAAUAAUUUCUUUUUAUUUCAUUUUAUUUUUGAGGGCAUAUUUUCUUAACAUACAAAUUGUUCUACACUUUAUAAGUCUAUAGUCUACUGUCUGCAAGUGUUUGUUUCCUGCGAGAGUAAAUUUAUUUCUUGGCCUGUCUCCAAAUAA